CCUGCUCCAGACAGCACAUUGAGGUAGGCCCCCUGGUGGGAGUAUCGUGGUGGCUGUGGUUGAUACCCAUAUCGCGGGUAGAGCCUUCGUGUUCGACGUUUGAGUUACGGUGCUAGUUGCGCAAAACUCGGGUGCUGUGACCCAGAGAUCAGUAGAGAUUUUAGGUAGAUCUCGCUCCUCAGCAAGGGGGAGUGCUUGCCCGGCAAGCAAGUACUCGAAUUGCUACCGGGGUGGUCGCUAUGUACAUAGCUAUAGCUUCCAGUCCGGGACGUUUGUCUGGCGUAUCCAGACUCAUGCACCAUGUUGAUACAUGCACCACUUGUGGGUGUUCAGGGUGUCGUGGUUGUAAUCCCUUCAGUGUGGAACACGCCACGUAAAACAAGUUCGGAGAGGUCCGAAAGUCACUGUCCCUAUCUACUAUCUAGCGAAACCACAGCCAAGGGAACGGGCUUGGAAUAAUUAGCGGGGAAAGAAGACCCUUUUGAGCUUGACUCUAAUCUGGCAGUGUAAGGAGACAUAAGAGGUGUAGAAUAAGUGGGAGAUAUUAGACCUCGGUUUGGUAUCGUCAAUGAAAUACCACUACUCUUAUUGUUUCCUUACUUACUUGAUUAAAUGGAACGUGUAUCAUUUCCUAGCCAUUAUACGGAUAUAUUUAUUAUAUCUUAUGGUAUUGGGUUUUGAUGCAAGCUUCUUGAUCAAAGUAUCACGAGUUUGUUAUAUAAUCGCAAACAAAUUCUUUAAUAAAACGAUGCAUUUAUGUAUUUUUGAUUUGAAAAUUUGGUAUAACUCCAAUUACUCAGGUAUGAUCCAAUUCAAGGACAUUGCCAGGUAGGGAGUUUGACUGGGGCGGUACAUCUCUCAAAUAAUAACGGAGGUGUCCCAAGGCCAGCUCAGUGCGGACAGAAACCACACAUAGAGCAAAAGGGCAAAUGCUGACUUGAUUUCGGUGUUCAGUACACACAGGGACAGCAAAAGCUCGGCCUAUCGAUCCUUUUGGUUUAAAGAGUUUUUAACAAGAGGUGUCAGAAAAGUUACCAUAGGGAUAACUGGCUUGUGGCGGCCAAGCGUUCAUAGCGACGUCGCUUUUUGAUCCUUCGAUGUCGGCUCUUCCUAUCAUUGUGAAGCAAAAUUCACCAAGCGUUGGAAUGUUCACCCAUGCAAGGGAACGUGAGCUGGGUUAGACCGUCGUGAGACAGGUUAGUUUUACCCUACUAAUGACAAAACGUUGUUGCGACAGCAUUCCUGCGUAGUACGAGAGGAACCGCAGGUACGGACCAAUGGCACAAUACUUGUUCGAGCGAACAGUGGUAUGACGCUACGUCCGUUGGAUUAUGCCUGAACGCCUCUAAGGUCGUAUCCGUGCUGGACUGCAAUGAUAAAUAAGGGGCAAUUUGCAUUGUAUGGCUUCUAAACCAUUUAAAGUUUAUAAUUUAUUUUAUAAACGACAAUGGAUGUGAUGCCAAUGUAAUUUGUAACAUAGUAAAUUAGGAGGAUCUUCGAUCACCUGAUGCCGCGCUAGUUACAUAUAAAAGCAUUAUUUAAUACAAUGACAAAGCCUAGAAUCAAUUGUAAACGACUUUUGUAACAGGCAAGGUGUUGUAAGUGGUUGAGCAGCUGCCAUACUGCGAUCCACUGAAGCUUAUCCUUUGCUUGAUGAUUCGA
rfam:Drosophila sechellia strain Rob3c scaffold_3894 genomic scaffold, whole genome shotgun sequence.